rnacentral:rRNA from 1 species
CCUACGGGAGGCAGCAGUGAGGAAUAUUGGUCAAUGGGCGCGAGCCUGAACCAGCCAAGUCGCGUGAGGGAAGACGGCCCUACGGGUUGUAAACCUCUUUUGCCGGGGAGCAACGGGCGCCACGUGUGGAGCCACUGAGAGUACCCGGAGAAAAAGCAUCGGCUAACCCAGUGCCAGCAGGCGCGGUAAUACGGAGGAUGGGAGCGUUAUCCGGUUUUAUUGGGUUUAAAGGGUGCUUAGGCGGAGCGUUAAGUCAGUGGUCAAAUGGAGGGGCUCAACCCCUUCCAGCCAUUGAAACUGGCGCUCUUGAGUGGAAGAGAAGUAGGCUGAAUGCGUGGUGUAGCGGUGAAAUGCAUAGAUAUCACGCAGAACCCCGAUUGCGAAGGCAGCAUGCCGGCUUCCGACUGACGCUGAAGCACGAAAGCGUGGGGAUCGAACAGGAUUAGAUACCCGAGUAGUC